rnacentral:rRNA from 1 species
GAUGAACGCUGGCGGCGUGCCUAAUACAUGCAAGUCGAACGGAGGGCAGCAAUGCUCUCAGUGGCGAACGGGUGAGUAACGCGUUGGUACCUGCCCCGAAGCGGGGGAUAACGGGACGAAAGUCUCGCUAAUACCCCAUGUGCUCCGGAAGGAGUAAAGGAGGACGCUUCGAAAGAAGCGCAUCCACUUUGGGAGGGGCCUGCGUCCCAUCAGCUAGUUGGUAGGGUAACGGCUUACCAAGGCGAUGACGGGUAGGGGACCUGAGAGGGUGAACCCCCACAAUGGAACUGAAACACGGUCCAUACACCUACGGGUGGCAGCAGUAGGGAAUAUUGGUAAUGGGCGCAAGCCUGAACCAGCAACGCCGCGUGUGCGAUGAAGGCCUUCGGGUUGUAAAGCACUUUUUGCCGGGACGAGGAAGGACGGUACCGGCAGAAUAAGCCUCGGCUAACUACGUGCCAGCCGCCGCGGUAAGAC